UGCAGAGGUUACAUGGGUGAAAAUGUACGGCCACGCAUGCCCAUGAUAUGCUUAAGGCCCCAAGGCUACUGUGUUCUUAACAUUGGAGCCGAUUUUGUAGUUGUUGGAGGACGAACAAGGGAUCGGGUGUAAGCAACAGGGCCUCUGUCUGUAACAGCUCUGCGUGGCCUAUCAGUCAAGAUGGUGAUCCAUUGCUUAGUGGGUGUAAAUUAUCUUUUUUGAAUUUAAUGGUUUUCAUGGAUACGGAGGCGUACAGACAGAGGAUUCCAAUAUGGAGUAAUGUAUGACAUAGUUUAUUUCUGAAAUUAUUUAUGAUAUACCUGUUAGCGGUGUAUAUCAUGCAGAGCUAGCGGUGGUAAUUCCAUUUUCUUGCAGUCAUCUCCGUGAUUUGCAGGCAUCAAUCAUGAUUGCAUGAUAUUUGUAUAAGCCCAACUAAGCAAAUAGUGCUCUGCCUCUUUCACCACAAACUUUGUUUAAUAGUUGUCUACGGUGGUUAUCUUUGUAUAAAUCUGCAUAUUUUCAGUUGUAAAUGUACAAUGAAUUAAUAGAGUUUAUUUUCCUUUA